CCUACGGGAGGCAGCAGUGGGGAAUAUUGGGCAAUGGGCGCAAGCCUGACCCAGCAACGCCGCGUGAGGGAAGAAAGCUUUCUGGUUGGUACCUUCUUUUGUCAGGGACGCAGCAAGUGACGGUACCUGACGAAUAAGACACGGCUAACUACGUGCCAGCAGCAGCGGUAAUACGUAGGUGGGAAGCUGUAUCCGGGUUUACUGGGUGUAAGGGACGUGUAGGCGGCGAAGCAAGGGAGAUUGGAAAACCACGGGCUCAACCUGUGGCCUGCAUUUGAAACUGUUUUUCUUGAGUGCUGGAGAGGCAAUCGGAAUUCCGUGUGUAGCGGUGAAAUGCGUAGAUAUACGGAGGAACACCAGUGGCGAAGGCGGAUUGCUGGACAGUAACUGACGCUGAGGCGCGAAAGCGUGGGGAGCAAACAGGAUUAGAUACCCCUGUAGUC
rnacentral:rRNA from 1 species